rnacentral:lncRNA from 1 species
CCCCGGGCUGCUGCGUGGGCUUCUCAUUUCAUGUUGGAAAUUACACAGUAGGCUCAAGACAGAGCCUGUGAUCCCAUUUCUGAUCCUAAGAGCUCAUGCCCUGUCCUCAGGAAUGCUCCCCACGGGUUGAGGAUUAAAGAGCAGUGAUCACAUGAGCUAAUGGAUUUUAUGGCUUUCGGUUGGGGGUUGUCAUUAAAUGACGCUGCGGCUUCCGUGCACUCCACGACUGCCUGGCACAGAGCAGGGGGAAAGGUGAAUAAACACCACAGUACAUUAGCAAGUGCUGCUACUGAGAGACCUCCAGCCACGUGUCCCUGCCAUGGAAGGACAAGGGUGUUUUGGUCCCAAGAGAGCUGCCUCAUUCAUGAAGAGAGGAGGGUGUCCAAGGAACCUGUAGGAGCAGAGAGCACUUGUGGGAGCAGAGAGAGCUGCUUUGCCAGAUGCAAUUGCAGUUCAGAGAAGACAAGCCCCAGGAGCUGAGGCACCUGGAUUUGAGCACCUCACUCAGGUGUGCUCCUUCAGUAGGAUCCCAAGGAAUGAGACACAUCCUGCAACCAUGAUCUGCCCCUGUUCACAGCCCAAACUUCAAUCAACAUUUUCCAUCCCCUGGGUCAGUUUAGUAUGAAAUUUUCCAGCUGUCCCACUGCUGCUGUUCGCUUGAAAUAGUUAGCACAGGAACAAAGAGAGGCAGAACAUAUAGAAUACUGUUAAUUAACAUAAACAGAAUACUCCUGCUCCAAGGGAUAUCUUUUAUUUAUUCAUAAUAGAAUAUCUCUAAGAAGCAACACUCGGAAAGUACAGAAUAACCAAAUCACUUGCCCAUGGGGGAUCUGGUAGAGCUGAACUUAAGCACAUUUUGUGGAUUAUAGAGAAGAAGAGUAUGAAUCUUGGUACUUCAUCUCCCUAAAGGAUGUUCUAACCACCCAACUCCCCUGGACAUAUGCCCACAGUCUCUCCCCCGCUCACUCCCUCUCCCUCCUUCUGUUUCAUGCUUCAAGCCCACCCACUGACUGUCCUCCUGUUUCUUUGCACAGACUGAGAUGUUGGCUUUGGUGCUGGGCAGCAGUGAUAGCAAACCAUAUGUAAGUUUCUAUAUGCUAAAGGAUGGAAAUAUUUCUUAGUUAAGUCUUGUCCUAAUAGUUGUACCAAUUUUGACAAUGAAAAUUAUGCUAUUUUUAAAAAAAUGGAUAGAUUUUUCCCAUUAUAUAUUUUUGUAUAUUUUAAUAAAAGCAAUUAAAGAGGAAAAAAAAAAAAAAAA